rnacentral:rRNA from 1 species
AACGAACGCUGGCGGCAUGCCUAACACAUGCAAGUCGAACGAGACCUUCGGGUCUAUUGGCGCAUGGGUGCGUAACGCGGGGUAACCUGCCCUUAGGUUCGGCAUAACUCCCCGAAAGGGGUGCUAAUACCGGAUAAUCUCUUCGGACCAAAGAUUUAUCGCCUUUGGAUGGGCCCGCGUUGGAUUAGCUAGUUGGUAGGGUAAAAGCCUACCAAGGCGACGAUCCAUAGCUGGUGUGAGAGGAUGAUCAGCAACACUGGGACUGAGACACGGCCGAGACUCCUAGGGGAGGCAGCAGUGGGGAAUAUUGGAAGAGGGGGGAAAGCCUGAUCCAGCAAUGCCGCGUGAGUGAUGAAGGGCUUGGGGUUGUAAAGCUCUCUUACCCGGGAUGAUAAUGACAGUAACGGGAGAAUAAGCUCCGGCUAACUCCGUG